GGGUUGUGAGGUUAAGCGACUAAGCGUACACGGUGGAUGCCCUGGCAGUCAGAGGCGAUGAAGGACGUGCUAAUCUGCGAUAAGCGUCGGUGAGGUGAUAUGAACCGUUAUAACCGGCGAUUUCCGAAUGGGGAAACCCAGUGUGUUUCGACACACUAUCAUUAACUGAAUCCAUAGGUUAAUGAGGCGAACCGGGGGAACUGAAACAUCUAAGUACCCCGAGGAAAAGAAAUCAACCGAGAUUCCCCCAGUAGCGGCGAGCGAACGGGGAGGAGCCCAGAGCCUGAAUCAGUGUGUGUGUUAGUGGAAGCGUCUGGAAAGGCGCGCGAUACAGGGUGACAGCCCCGUACACAAAAAUGCACAUAUUGUGAGCUCGAUGAGUAGGGCGGGACACGUGGUAUCCUGUCUGAAUAUGGGGGGACCAUCCUCCAVGGCUAAAUACUCCUGACUGACCGAUAGGGAACYAGUACCGUSAGGGAAAGGGGAGACAAACGCACGGGCGGCAUGGGAAAAAGAGUGUAUAGGAACCGUUAUAACCGGCGAAUUCCGAAUGUGGAAACCCAGUCUGUUUCGACACACUAUCAUUAACUGAAUCCCUAGGUUAAUGAGGCGAACCGGGGGAACUGAAACCUCUAAGUACCCCGAGGAAAAGAAAUCAACCGAGAUUCCCCCAGUAGCGGCGAGCGAACGGGGAGGAGCCCAGAGCCUGAAUCAGUGUGUGUGUUAGUGGAAGCGUCUGGAAAGGCGCGCGAUACAGGGUGACAGCCCCGUACACAAAAAUGCACAUAUUGUGAGCUCGAUGAGUAGGGC
rnacentral:rRNA from 1 species